rnacentral:rRNA from 1 species
UACGUAGGUAGCAAGCGUUGUUCGGAGUUACUGGGCGUAAAGAGUGCGUAGGCGGUCCUGUAAGUUUGGUGUGAAAUCUCCCGGCUCAACUUGGAAGGUGCGCCGAAGACUGCAGGGCUUGAGUAUGGGAGAGGUAAGCGGAAUUCCUGGUGUAGCGGUGAAAUGCGUAGAUAUCAGGAGGAACACCUGUGGUGUAGGCAGCUUACUGGGCCAUAACUGACGCUGAGGCACGAAAGCGUGGGUAGCAAACAGG